rnacentral:rRNA from 1 species
GACGGAGGGUGCUAGCGUUGUUCGGAAUCACUGGGCGUAAAGGGCGCGUAGGCGGCCUUUGGUGUCGGAUGUGAAAGCCCGGGGCUCAACUCCGGAGGUGCAUCCGAAACUCAAAGGCUGGAGGCCGGAAGAGGAGGGUGGAAUACCCAGUGUAGAGGUGAAAUUCGUAGAUAUUGGGUGGAACACCGGUGGCGAAAGCGGCUCUCUGGUCCGGUCCUGACGCUGAGGCGCGAAAGCGUGUGGAGCAAACAGG